AGCCCCUGGCUGCUAUCUGUAAAGCCCCAACACAAACUUUUCAUCCCACUCCUUCAGAAAACAUACAUCCACAAGUGAGAGCUGGUCAAAUUUGGAGUUCCCAACAUUCAACUCAUCAUGACUAAAUACAUUUGACAACCUAGAUUCAUAGCUGUCCAAAAAUAGUAAUCAUUUCUCUAUUAUAGAUCUAGAAAAUUCUUAACCUAUAUCUCAUCAGAGCAAGUCCAAGCAAGAACUCAGUUAGUUAUCUCCUAUCAUGCACUUCCACUCCAAGUUGCAUCUAAGUUAGAACAACAACGCUCACAAACGAAAAUAUGGAUGGAGAAUGGUAUCCAUUAUGCCAAGACCAGGUAAAGCUGCAAAUUGAUCUGGACUCUGAAGCAAAAUAUCAAAUUCUCAAAUUCAUCUUUAUAGUUUUCAUUUGAAACACAAGACACACUUCAUCUAAAAGUUCAAGGAUUAGAAGAUGACACAUUGAUUUCUGUAAUGAUUUUAACUUUGCAAGCCAACUCUCUUAAAAUGCUAACUAGUAUUUUAAGUACUUUUUUAUUAGGAUUAUUGAUUUCCACCAUUAAGAACUAGUCCUUUACGUAUUACAAACAGGAAGCUCAAAUCUCCUAGUUCAUAACUCUUGUAGUAAAUCCGAAACUAACUCAGACAACGAAAUUGGUUAUAUCUUACCAACCCAACAAAAUAUCGACUAUUGACCGGACAUAAAUGGUUACCUCUAUACUUAUACGAGCAUCACGUGCUUUU